rnacentral:rRNA from 1 species
UACGUAGGGGGCAAGCGUUGUCCGGAUUUAUUGGGCGUAAAGAGCGUGUAGGCGGCCAGGUAGGUCCGUUGUGAAAACUGGAGGCUUAACCUCCAGCUGUCGAUGGAAACCAUCUGGCUAGAGUCCGGAAGAGGAGAGUGGAAUUCCUGGUGUAGCGGUGAAAUGCGCAGAUAUCAGGAAGAACACCGGUGGCGAAGGCGGGUCUCUGGGCCGUAACUGACGCUGAGGAGCGAAAGCGUGGGGAGCGAACAGG